GAAUGAAGCAUCUUAAGCGAAGAAGAGAAAGUUUCUUUUUGACUAAUACUUGUAAAUCAAGUGCAGUAGUGUUUUUAGUUUUUUUUAAGUGAUCGUUGUCAGAAUACAGGAAGAAAACUAGUUUUUUCCAUCUGCUAUUUGAGUUAAUAGAAAACAAAGAUGGACAGAGCAAGUUAUUUUGAUUCUCGUAGUAUGUGAAGAGGAAAACAGAAAAAUCGAAGCUUUUUUCCGAUGGUGAAACAAUGAAAGAGUGAGUGCCCCGUGACUGGGAGAUUGAGUGAAAAGUAUGGAGCACUCACCAGUGAACUCUUCCGUGUUGCCAAACUGACGACGUAUAGUUCAAGGCUUUCCCUGUUUCGUUUCAUGUUUGUUUUUCAGGAAUUCAACAUGAAUUUUCAGAAAAGAAUCAUUGUCACUAGUAUUACAGGUGGUUUUAUACCGUUUUAAACGAUACAAUCGAUAUUGAUUUGCACGUAUCCCAUCGAGCGAGCACAACAAAAACAACACCAAUACUCCUCGACCUUCCCUCCGGUUGUCCUCUGCUGCUGCGGGUUGCUGGUGCAUUGUGCAAUUCUGAAUCAGUGAGCCCCCAGCGGAAUUGCUGCAAUUCGCAGUUGAGUGCAUUCGAUAGCUGCUGCCGUCAUUGUGUAUAGGUGUAUGUAUGUGCGCACAUAGUCACAGUGUUUAUACAGAGAAGGAAGGUAGUGUUUCCGUUGUCAGUGGGCAUCGUUUCCCAGGAUCAGAAUAGUGUGAAAAUCAGUGUUCCGUAAAUGUCAAAAUAAGUCAGUAAUAAGCGCUAGCGCAAAAGGGGAAAAAACAUCAACAAAUUGUGCGAUUGUGUUGGAGUAGACGCACACACUCCCACACCUAAAUACACGCCCAUUUGAACGUGAUUUUUGCUGUCCUUUCGUGUGCAUUCCGCAGGAAUAAUGUGAAAGAUUCAGAGGAAAGAAGUUGAAAACGUAUCGAUAGAAGCGGGUCAUGUAUGGUGCAACCGCAGGUCGUUCUUGUUAGUGUUGCCAUUAUUAUUAUUGGUGAGGCUAUCAACAACGCUGACAGCUGACAGGUCCGUAAAUUGUGAAACAAAACAGUUUAGACGACGCGCAUUCCUUUGUGUGUCGACCUCCACUGAGUGAGGGUGGGUUCGAGCGAGACAGUGGAACACAGGAAGAAUUACAUCAAUCGAUAUCGUUGCUGAGCUACUGGUGCUGCAAAUUGCAUCGAACCUCCGGAGCUCUCGCAGUCGUACUUACACACCAGCAGCAGCAAAGGUACGGUGCGCACCAAUACCAGUUCUCGACUGGUACGUACCUAACCUAGGCUAGUAGCAGUAGGAGGCCAGGCAGCGAGAGGAUCUUUCCUUCUUCUUCUGCUCUGCAGGCUGGGGAAAGAUGUCGUCCAAAAACAUACCUGCUGAUAAG